CAGUUGCGAACAGUCACACAUUGACUCUCAAGGCAAUUAAGGGAAAUACAGUAAAACAGAGUGAUAUUUUCAAGCUAAAGAAGACAAUGAACUGAAUUAUGAACCUUGUCAAACUUCUUCAUCACUACAAAUAACAGUAAGUGAGCAUAUCAACAAAAUAUGCUGGAUACUUCAGCUAGUUUCCUGCUGUUGCUAGUAGCAGCUAAGAGUUGAAUAUGGAAGGAAAAGCUGAGUUAUACUUCACAGUGGCAACUGCAGUGGGUCUUAACUUUAAGACACGGACACGUCGACACCGUUAUAGAAAAGAGAAAACUUUCGAGAAGAACGAUUGAAGCUGCUACGGGACAUGAUAUGAAAACGUUGUUGCCAUGGAAGGAAAUCACUUUAAAAUGAACAGACACCAUUUUGCCAUGAAAAAAACUUCCAAAUGUGACAUGCUCGACAGGACAUCCAACAGAGAAGAACAUCACCACGUCAGAAAAGGAGGAAGGCGCUGACAAUGUUCAGCGGAUGGCUGUUCUACACGAGUCGGGUUUUGCUCGAGGUUUCUGCCUCAAGAAAUGAAAACAGAGGGAUUUCUUGGCUUUGCAGUUUGCCCCAAGUGGACACUUGAGGAACUGCACUUAAAAAAAUAACUUCAUGGUAGGCAUUUCUUUUUUAAGACUUGAAUUAUUUCAUAUUUGACCUCCCUGCAUGAACAAACACAACGUUUUCUG